rnacentral:misc_RNA from 1 species
GAUGAAGAACGUAGCGAAAUGCGAUAAGUAAUGUGAAUUGCAGAAUUCAGUGAAUCAUCGAGUCUUUGAACGCACAUUGCGCCCCCUGGUAUUCCGGGGGGCAUGCCUGUCCGAGCGUCAUUAUCACCCCUCAAGCCCUCGGCUUGGUGUUGGACGGUUUGGUGGAGGCCCCCUCGGGGGCUCCUGCCCCUCCCAAAGACAAUGACGGCGGCCUCGUUGGACCCCCGGUACACUGAGUUCUUCACGGGACACGUAUCGGACACAUGGGUUUACGGGACACGGUCUGCCUCCCCUCAGGGAGAAUCUUUCUAAGGUUGACCUCGGAUCAGGUAGGGAUACCCGCUGAACUUAAGCAUAUCAAUAAGCGGAGGA